CAGUCGCCGCGGGAAAACGAAGGGGGCUAGCGUUGUUCGGAUUUACUGGGCGUAAAGCGCACGUAGGCGGAUCGAUCAGUCAGGGGUGAAAUCCCAGAGCUCAACUCUGGAACUGCCUUUGAUACUGUCGAUCUGGAGUAUGGAAGAGGUGAGUGGAAUUCCGAGUGUAGAGGUGAAAUUCGUAGAUAUUCAGAGGAACACCAGUGGCGAAGGCGGCUCACUGGUCCAUUACUGACGCUGAGGUGCGAAAGCGUGGGGAGCAAACAGGAUUAGAUACCCCUGUAGUCCCUGUCUCUUAUAC
rnacentral:rRNA from 1 species